CCCUUAGAUGUUCUGGGCCGCACGCGCGCUACACUGUUCGACGCAGCGAGUCUUAACCUUGACCGAAAGGUUUGGGUAAUCUUCAGCAAAGUCGAACGUGAUGGGGAUCGAUCAUUGCAAUUAUUGAUCGUGAACGAGGAAUUCCUAGUAAGUGCAAGUCAUCAGCUUGCGCUGAUUACGUCCCUGCCCUUUGUACACACCGCCCGUCGCACCUACCGAUUGAGUGGUCCGGUGAAGUCUCGAGAUUGUGGCAAUCUCCUUUAUUGGAGUUUGACUGCGAGAACUUGCCUAAACCUUAUCACUUAGAGGAAGGUGAAGUCGUAACA
rnacentral:rRNA from 1 species